rnacentral:rRNA from 1 species
CAGUAGCCGCGGGAAUACGAAGGGGGCUAGCGUUGCUCGGAAUCACUGGGCGUAAAGGGUGCGUAGGCGGGUUUUUAAGUCAGAGGUGAAAUCCUGGAGCUCAACUCCAGAACUGCCUUUGAUACCGAAAGUCUUGAGUAUGGGAGAGGUGAGUGGAACUGCGAGUGUAGAGGUGAAAUUCGUAGAUAUUCGGAAGAACACCAGUGGCGAAGGCGGCUUACUGGCUCAUUCUAGACGCUGAGGUGCGAAAGCGUGGGGAGCAAACAGGAUUAGAUACCCCCGUAGUCCCUGUCUCUUAUAC